ensembl:snoRNA
GGCACUUGUGUGCAUUUUUGUCUUAACUUGUGGACCAAGACUUUAUGAACAGGUGCAAAAAAUAAAUCCUCUUUUGCAGCCCAGAGAUCAUUAUUUAGUAUGAGUUUUGAUACAUAUAAGAAGGAAUAUU